rnacentral:rRNA from 1 species
CGUGUAGGCGGUUUGUUAAGUCUGGUGUGAAAGCCCUGGGCUCAACCUGGGAAGUGCAUUGGAUACUGGCAAACUUGAGUACGGGAGAGGAUAGUGGAAUUUCGAGUGUAGGGGUGAAAUCCGUAGAUAUUCGAAGGAACACCGGUGGCGAAGGCGGCUAUCUGGACCGAUACUGACGCUGAGACGCGAAAGCGUGGGGAGCAAACAG